AACCACAGAUACUGGUCUGGAAUUGUUUUUCCUCGUAGCAGUUCCAGCAUUCCUCCUGUGGAAUACAAAUUUGUUACACAGCUUUAUUUCCUCUCAGAUUGUCUGAUAGGGUCGUCUGUGUCUCAUACACAG